rnacentral:tRNA from 4 species
GGAAGCGUGCCUGAGCGGUUUAAAGGGAUGGUCCUGAAAACCAUUAUACCCGAAAGGGUAUCGGAGGUUCGAAUCCUCCCGCUUCCG